rnacentral:rRNA from 1 species
UGGGGAAUUUUGGACAAUGGGCGGAAGCCUGAUCCAGCCAUGCCGCGUGAGUGAAGAAGGCCUUCGGGUUGUAAAGCUCUUUUAGUCGGAAAGAAAGAGUUGCAAUGAAUAAUUGUGAUUUAUGACGGUACCGACAGAAAAAGCACCGGCUAACUACGUGCCAGCAGCCGCGGUAAUACGUAGGGUGCGAGCGUUAAUCGGAAUUACUGGGCGUAAAGGGUGCGCAGGCGGUCUUGCAAGUCAGAUGUGAAAGCCCCGGGCUUAACCUGGGAAUUGCGUUUGAAACUACAAGGCUAGAGUGCAGCAGAGGGGAGUGGAAUUCCAUGUGUAGCAGUGAAAUGCGUAGAGAUGUGGAAGAACACCGAUGGCGAAGGCAGCUCCCUGGGUUGACACUGACGCUCAUGCACGAAAGCGUGGGGAGCAAACA